rnacentral:rRNA from 1 species
CGCGUGCGGAGUGCCUACACAUGCAGUCGGAGAGAAAGAGGGGCAACCCUUAAGUAGAGUGGCAGACGGGUGAGUAACGCGUGGGUAACUUCCUUCAGGUGUGGAAUAACCUUCCGAAAGGAAGGCUAAUACCGCAUAACAUCAUGAGGUCUCUGGACCUUAUGUUCAAAGCCGGGGAUUCUUCGGAACCCGGCGCCUGGAAAUAGGCCCGCGUCUCAUUAGCCAGUUGGUGAGGUAACGGCUCACCAAAGCGACGAUGGGUAGCCGGCCUGAGAGGGCGAUCGGCCACACUGGGACUGAGACGCGGCCCAGACUCCUACGGGAGGCAGCAGUGAGGAAUUUUGCGCAAUGGGCGAAAGCCUGACGCAGCGACGCCGCGUGGGUGAUGAAGGUCUUCGGAUUGUAAAACCCUGUCGAGCGGGAAGAAAUGCAUAAAGGAUAAUACCUUUUAUGCUUGACUGUACCGCUGGAGGAAGCUCCGGCUAACUACGUGCCAGCAGCCGCGGUAAUACGUAGGGAGCAAGCGUUGUUCGGAAUUAUUGGGCGUAAAGGGCGUGUAGGCGGUUAUGUAAGUCAAAUGUGAAAUCCCACAGCUUAACUAUGGAACUGCGUUUGAUACUGCACAACUUGAGCUCGGGAGAGGGAAGUGGAAUUCCUGGUGUAGCGGUGAAAUGCGUAGAGAUCAGGAGGAACACCGGUGGCGAAGGCGGCUUCCUGGACCGAUACUGACGCUGAGGCGCGAAAGCUAGGGGAGCAAACAGGAUUAGAUACCCUGGUAGUCCUAGCUGUAAACGAUGGGCACUUGGUGUUGCGGGUAUCGACCCCCGCAGUGCCGAAGCUAACGCACUAAGUGCCCCGCCUGGGAGUACGGUCGCAAGGCUGA